UACGUAGGGUGCAGGCGUAAUCGGAAUUACUGGGCGUAAAGCGUGCGCAGGCGGUCUUUUAAGUCAGAUGUGAAAUCCCCGGGCUUAACCUGGGAACUGCGUUUGAAACUGGAAGGCUUGAGUGUGGCAGAGGGGGGUGGAAUUCCACGUGUAGCAGUGAAAUGCGUAGAUAUGUGGAGGAACACCGAUGGCGAAGGCAGCCCCUGGGCUAACACUGACGCUCAUGCACGAAAGCGUGGGGAGCAAACAGG
rnacentral:rRNA from 1 species